UAUGUAGGGGGCAAGCGUUGUCCGGAUUUAUUGGGCGUAAAGAGCUCGUAGGCGGCUCGGUAAGUCGGAUGUGAAACCUCCAGGCUCAACCUGGAGACGCCAUCUGAUACUGCCGUGGCUUGAGUCCGGUAGAGGAGCAGGGAAUUCCUGGUGUAGCGGUGAAAUGCGCAGAUAUCAGGAGGAACACCAGCGGCGAAGGCGCUGCUCUGGGCCGGUACUGACGCUGAGGAGCGAAAGCGUGGGGAGCGAACAGG
rnacentral:rRNA from 1 species